GGAAGUGUAGCUCAGUAGUAGAGCAUAUGCUUAUCUAGCACAAGACCUUGGCUUCAAUCUCCAGCACAUACC
rnacentral:tRNA from 1 species